rnacentral:rRNA from 1 species
GAACGCGAAGAACCUUACUAGGCUUGACAUUGAGAGAAUCCGCUAGAAAUAGUGGAGUGUCUGGCUUGCUAGACCUUGAAAACAGGUGCUGCACGGCUGUCGUCAGCUCGUGUCGUGAGAUGUUGGGUUAAGUCCCGCAACGAGCGCAACCCCCUUUCUUAGUUGCUAACAGGUCAUGCUGAGAACUCUAAGGAUACUGCCUCCGUAAGGAGGAGGAAGGUGGGGACGACGUCAAGUCAUCAUGGCCCUUACGCCUAGGGCUACACACGUGCUACAAUGGGGUGCACAAAGAGAAGCAAUACUGCGAAGUGGAGCCAAUCUUCAAAACACCUCUCAGUUCGGAUUGUAGGCUGCAACUCGCCUGCAUGAAGCUGGAAUCGCUAGUAAUCGCAAAUCAGCCAUGUUGCGGUGAAUACGUUCCCGGGUCUUGUACACACC